GACGAACGCUGGCGGCGUGCCUAAUACAUGCAAGUAGGACGCAGUUGCGAACGGGUGAGUAACGCGUAGGUAACUGCCUAUGUGAGGGGGAUAAAUAUUGGACAAGAUAGCUAAUACCGCAUACUAGGAGAUGGACCUGCGUUGUAUUAGAUAGUAGGGUGGGUAAUGGCCUACCUAGGGGACGAUACAUAGCCGAGCUGAGAGGGUGAUCGGCGCAACUGUGACUGAGACACGGCCCAGACUCCGACGGGAGGCAGCAGUAGGGAAUCUUCGGCAAUGGGGGGAACCCUGACCGAGCAACGCCGCGGGAGUGAAGAAGGUUUUCGGAUCGUAAAGCUCUGUUGUUAAGGAAGCGGUACUUAACCAGAAAGGGACGGCUAACUACGUGCCAGCAGCCGCGGUAAUUC
rnacentral:rRNA from 1 species